AUCCAGCUGACGAGUCCCAAAUAGGACGAAACGCGCGUUCUGGAU
rfam:Schistosoma mattheei strain Denwood, Zambia genome assembly, scaffold: SMTD_contig0004992